UACGUAGGGGGCAAGCGUUGUUCGGAAUUACUGGGUGUAAAGGGUUCGUAGGCGGUGCGGCAAGUUGGGAGUGAAAUCUCUGGGCUUAACCCAGAGGCUGCUUUCAAAACUGCUGUGCUUGAGUGUGAGAGAGGCUCGUGGAAUUGCAGGUGUAGCGGUGAAAUGCGUAGAUAUCUGCAGGAACACCCGUGGCGAAAGCGGCGAGCUGGAUCACUACUGACGCUGAGGAACGAAAGCUAGGGGAGCAAACAGG
rnacentral:rRNA from 1 species